UAAACAGCCGAAUUUCCGCAAGAAAACGGGGGAACCAAAUGCCGCCGCCGCAUUGGCGCCGCGGUCGGGGUGAAUUCCUUGCGCGCGCAGGCGGCGCGCGGGAUAGGGCUGCCUGUUCAGGCCCGAACCCGUCAGCUAACCUCGUAGGCUG
rnacentral:sRNA from 1 species